CGGGGGGAGCAAGCGUUGUUCGGAUCUACUGGGCGUAAAGGGCGCGUAGGCGGCCACCGCAAGUCGACUGUGAAAUCUCCGGGCUUAACCCGGAAAGGUCAGCCGAUACUGCGGGGCUAGAGUGCAGAAGGGGCAACUGGAAUUCUCGGUGUAGCGGUGAAAUGCGUAGAUAUCGAGAGGAACACCUGCGGCGAAGGCGGGUUGCUGGGCUGACACUGACGCUGAUGCGCGAAAGCUAGGGGAGCGAACGGGAUUAGAUACCCCGGUAGUCCUAGCCUUAAACGAUGAAUGCUUGGUGUCUGGGGUUUUAUAGUCCCCGGGUGCCGUCGCUAACGCUUUAAGCAUUCCGCCUGGGGAGUACGGUCGCAAGACUG
rnacentral:rRNA from 1 species